UACGUAGGGUGCAAGCGUUGUCCGGAAUUAUUGGGCGUAAAGAGCUCGUAGGCGGUCUGUCGCGUCGGCUGUGAAAACCCGGGGCUCAACCCCGGGCCUGCAGUCGAUACGGGCAGACUAGAGUGCGGUAGGGGAGACUGGAAUUCCUGGUGUAGCGGUGAAAUGCGCAGAUAUCAGGAGGAACACCGGUGGUGUAGACGGCUCUCUGGACCGUAACUGACGCUGAGGCACGAAAGCGUGGGUAGCAAACAGG
rnacentral:rRNA from 1 species